rnacentral:rRNA from 1 species
GACGAACGCUGGCGGCGUGCUUAACACAUGCAAGUCGAACGGUGAAGGGACCGGUUUUUGCUGGUUCUGGAUGAGUGGCGAACGGGUGAGUAACACGUGAGUAACCUGCCCCCUUCUUCUGGAUAACCGCAUGAAAGUGUGGCUAAUACGGGAUAUUCUGCGCCUGCUGCAUGGUGGGUGUGGGAAAGAUAUUGUUUCGGUGGGGGAUGGGCUCGCGGCCUAUCAGCUUGUUGGUGGGGUGAUGGCCUACCAAGGCGGUGACGGGUAGCCGGCCUGGGAGGGUGGACGGUCACACUGGGGCUGAGACACGGCCCAGACUCCUACGGGAGGCAGCAGUGGGGAAUAUUGCACAAUGGGCGCAAGCCUGAUGCAGCGACGCCGCGUGAGGGAUGGAGGCCUUCGGGUUGUAAACCUCUUUCGCCAGUGAAGCAGGCCUGUCCCUUUUGUGGGUGGGUUGACGGUAGCUGGAUAAGAAGCGCCGGCUAACUACGUG